AAGAAGGUUUAAAACAGAAUAUCAAAACAAUCCGCCUCAUACUUCGCCCCCAAGUAUUUCAUAUUUUUUGACUAAAUCAAUGAACGACUUGUGAAUUACUAGGAAAGUGUGGAAAGGAGACUGAUUCACAACCGUUACGAUUCUGACGGAUUCAAACAAUCUCAUACACACACACAUAUAUGGCUAUACAUCUAUAAUUAUUUGUUGGGGUGUGUAUAUAUAUAAAUAAGGCAAAAGUGCACUAAACACUCUUUCAACUAUAAAUAAGAGCAAUAUUGGAAGUUGCAAACAAACCUAGACCCCCCUCUCUCUCAAACUCGAUCGACAACAACUCUGUAAAACUCUUCUCUCACUCUCCACAUCAGACGAAACUCGCUAUUGCCGUCAAUGCUGAUGAUGGAAAUCUGUAAGGAUUCUACCACACCGAACACAUUGGGCAUAACGGGCAAAUUGUACUAUUUUAUUUUUCUAAUUUAUAAAUAUGGAUGUAUACUAUAGCUUUUGUUUCGGUUAAAAUGUCUACCUUCAAACCCUAGGUCUGAUUGUUGUUAAUGAAAUGCACCGAACUCUAACAAUUGGCUGGCACUGUAAAACUGCUCUCUGUAAUUUUCUCCUACUUUCUUGAGAAGUUACUUACCUUUUGUUUCUCAGGCUUUGCUUGGAGUGACUGAAUAUAAGUGGUGUAUCUUAAACUUGUUUUGUAUGUUCGUCUCUCUCUUUUGCUUUUCUCUCUCUUUUGAUGUCUCUUUCGGGACUAAUUCUUCAAUGAAAUUGUUAAUUAUUGGUGUGGGUUUGAUGUGUUCCUUCCUUUCUUACUUCUUCUGUUAUUUAUUUAUUUCAUUAGGCAUUCACAUAAUUUUUAUGAUUUUUUUUGGUCUUUUUAGAGGAUAUAUGGGGCUUACAUAUGGUGAAGGUAGUGAAUCUUGGACUGAGCAUUGUCAAAUAAAAUCUUGUCUUCUAGUUAGAAAAAUUGUUUAUUAUUCAUAGUGUGACAUUAAUAAGAAAGCAAAGCAACGUUUGUUAAAUUAGGUGAGUAUUGGUAUCUGUGGUCUUUCAUCUUUGGAAGACUAGGUGUGGUGCUUUUAUAGAUGCUCUGGGUAAGACAUUAGGAUGCGUUUAUGAGUGAAUGUCCUCAUUUAUGUUUUUCACAAAAACAAAAUGAUAUACAAUGCAUGUAUAUUUUGAUUCUUAUAAACCAAUUUCUAUGUACAAUGCACGUAUAUUUUGAUUCUUAUAAAUCAAUUUCUUAUACUGCUUCUUUUCUUGCUUCUUGUUGGCUUUUUAUUUUUUUUCCUUCUUUCCGUUUCACUUUUCUGGUUUGCAUACUAUGUUUAGCUUAUUACUAGCAAAUCGCUCUGAUUGUUGUUCAAAUAAUGUUUUUGACUCAAUUUCUUAUACUCAAUUUCUAGAAAGCAAUGUAAUUACCUGGCAAUCAAUUACAUGAGUUAUUAUAUACUAUGUUCAGCUUAUCACUGGCAAAUUGCUCUGAUUGUUGUUACUUAUCAAAAAAAAAAAAAAAAAAAUUGCUCUGAUUGUUGUUCAAAUAAUGUUUUUGACAUUUUUCUUGUGACACAGUUGCAGAAAGCUUGCUACACUUGUUCUCAAGCAGGAUCAGAAGACUUGGCGGCUCCGAACCUUUGUCUUAUUCUGAUCUCUACGAAGAUAGGAAAGAAAAGAAAGGAUUUUGAGCACCAAAACACAGCCUGUUACUGUAUACUCGUUUCAGACUAUACGAGCAAUAGAAUUUUUGGAAAAAAGACAUCCAGCUAUGACUCUCUAUUUUCUCAACUUGGAUGUUAAAAUCCCACCAUUAUUGAUCCCUUAUAUCUAUUCAUUUUCAGAAUAAUAUUGUUGUCAGUCUAAUUUAACAAGACAUGUUUAGAUAUCAAUCUGACUAAUAUUUAUUUGAUACAGUUAUCUAUCAAUGACCACUUCUUUAUUUCACAUGGGACAGACUCAAAGACUGUUGCUGUCUUUUAUCUUCUAGAACAAUGAAGUACUUUUAGAAACAAAGAAGGUAAGAAAUUCAACUACAACAUACAAGGGCAUCCUCUGAAGCAAGUCUAGAGCAGCAGGACAUGUUGUCUUCUGCAAUCUGAGAUAUGGAAACUUUAAUUGAGGAACUGAAAUCAAAGGUUUCAAAAGAUGAAAUUAGGACUGAGAAUGCAGGGGAGCAAUGUGUUGUAUAACCUGAAACUAACUUAGAGACGACAAGAAUAGAAUCCUUGGAGACAUCUUUGCAGUAAGCUAAAGAUGCAAAAGCAACAAUUGCAAAGGAGAUUAUUGUUUAGACCAAGUUUAUUAUGGGCAUGGUUACGCAACUAGCCAUGGAAAGGGAAUGCAUCAAGAAGCAGUUAUAUUCUUUAACCAUCCAAAACAAAAUUUUGGUGGAGAAGUUGCAGAAAACAAAAGGGGACGCAUUUUGCAAGUUUGCAUGAGAAUGUAGGUGCUGAUGAUGGUGAGUUUCCAGGUCAGGGGUACUAUUUAUUUUAUUUUCUAUGACAGUGGAUUGAGAGACAUCGAUAUGAUGUCUGCCUGGUCCCCUGUCCGAUUUAUUGGUAUCAGACUUGACCUUUUUGAUAUGAUGUAUAUGAUAACAUUGGAAUUAACACAUUAAAACAAAUCUGUUUGAAUGCCUUAUACAUUGAACCAUUGAGGGCCUCACCAAUUGAUGCCCCGAAAACGUUCUUCUUGUGUCAAGAAAUGCAUCAGUAGUACCUACAAACAGAUAAUGGCUAUCACUCAGGAUACGAUAGUAUGCUUUGGGAUGAGGGUAAUUCAUAGAAUCAUUUGAGCAUACAUAAAGCACAAUCAAACGCACAAUAAGCUUAACUCAUUUGUCAUUACUCAGAGCAUGUUUUUGAUACAUUGAAUUGGUUAUGAUGAAUUUAAGAUUGACGAUACCUCUGACAGAGAUAUCAUUGAAUGAUAAUUUAUGGAGUUCAACAAAUUAUAGUAACAUUGUAUAAUCUCUUUCUAUAUCCCAAAUUCUAUCACAGGACCAGAUUUGUUUGUUUUAACAUCUACCUCUGUUCCCAAUGCAUUUGCUAAAUGAAUUCUCUGUUUUGUAGAUUCUCCUGUUAUUUUUUUUGGCCCUUUCUUUGUUAUUUAUCUUUCAGUUUAUUUCACUCUCUAAAAUUGUUCCUUUUGGUUUCUGGUUUUGACUUCAAAAGAACACUUUCAUUCCCGUAAUUCUGUGCUGCUUUGCAUAUUUUAGUUUUAACACUAGAAAGAGGUAACACCAGAGUUCAACGCAAUGAUACUGCAGAUUGAGGUUUACUCAUUCUUUUAUGCUUCCCGAGUUUUGCCGUUUCGUAUCACUGUCUUUUGCUCUUCUUUCAGUUUAUUACCUUAGGAUGAGAGAAAAAAAAAAAAAAUGGCAUUGCAUGCUAGCAAUGUUCGUGAGAUUUCUUGUUUGGUCAGCAGUUAACACUGAAAUUAUAAUAUCACACUACCUUAUUACAAAACCAAUGGAUCGUUCACUUACCAGGAGAAAAAAUAAAGAAAAUUAUAAAAUACACUGUAAUUUAGUCUCAAAAUGGAGUCAUUCUUGUCAUCUCUCAAAAAAUUUAUUCAACGCAUUUCUUACUCCCAUCUUCAAAGGUUAUAGUUGCUACAUAAAAUUUUCAGAUAUGAAUUAAUUUUUCAGAUAUGAAUGGGUGAUUCAAAUUGAUGUUUAGGCCCGUGGAGUUAAUUAUGCUGAUAUGAGAAACAAAAGGGUUAUGAGAGUACAUGGCAUAUAUGUAGCUCUUUGCAUGUCACUGUGCCAAGUUCAACAAUUUGAAAUCUAUAUGAUUUCGCUCUAAAUUUGCUUUCUAAUUAUUAUAGACAAAGCAGCCAAACUUGAGCCCAGUUCAAGAAUAUUUUGUUUCUUUUAUAUGUAAUUUCACUUUGAAAUGAGUUUUUAUUUUGUAAUUUGAAUGCAUUCCUUUGUCCAUUUUUACUGGUUUUGUUCUUCAGCUGCGAUUGUUUUUACUGCGUGACGUUCACUAGUGGUUCUCGCUUGCCCCUUUAAUGUAUGUUGGUUAUAGAAAAGAAAAGCUCAUCAGCGUUAAAACAUUGAUUAUUGUGGAGCACAUAUAUGAUCAUUAAUCCGGUAUAGUUUUCAUUUUGAGGGUGUUUGAGAGAUGUAAAUUUGAUAUGAUCUUAACCUUUAAAAUUAAAUAUACGUGUGGAAACUCUCUAGAUUCAAAUUUGUUUCCCCAACUCAAGCAUUUUACCCAAAUUUUAAUCUACCAUAAAAUUUUGGCCUCAAUAUUCUAAAUUUUCUACCAAUUGCGCAUCAAACAAGGCAUU